rnacentral:tRNA from 1 species
GAUCAGGUGGCCGAGUGGUUAAGGCGAUGGACUGCUAAUCCAUUGGGGUUUCCCCGCUU